CUGAGAGCUAGGUUAAUUAAACCGAGGACUUGUGACGUCCUAAAUUUACUUUGUAAGUUUCAGU
rnacentral:tRNA from 1 species